GACGAACGCUGGCGGCGUGCUUAACACAUGCCAGUCGAACGAAGAGCGAUGGAAGCUUGCUUCUAUCAAUCUUAGUGGCGAACGGGUGAGUAACGCGUAAUCAACCUGCCCUUCAGAGGGGGACCACAGUUGGAAACGACUGCUAAUACCGCAUACGAUCUAAUCUCGGCAUCGAGGAAAGAUGAAAGGUGGCCUCUAUUUAUAAGCUAUCACUGAAGGAGGGGAUUGCGUCUGAUUAGCUAGUUGGAGGGGUAACGGCCCACCAAGGCGAUGAUCAGUAGCCGGUCUGAGAGGAUGAACGGCCACAUUGGGACUGAGACACGGCCCAGACUCCUACGGGAGGCAGCAGUGGGGAAUCUUCCGCAAUGGACGGAAGUCUGACGGAGCAACGCCGCGUGAGUGAUGACGGCCUUCGGGUUGUAAAGCUCUGUUAAUCGGGACGAAAGGCCUUCUUGCGAACAGUUAGAAGGAUUGACGGUACCGGAAUAGAAAGCCACGGCUAACUACGUG
rnacentral:rRNA from 1 species